rnacentral:rRNA from 1 species
UAGUCAUAUGCUUGUCUCAAAGACUAAGCCAUGCAUGUGUAAGAAUAAACACCUUUAUUCUGUGAAUCUGCGUACAGCUCAUUAUAUCAGUAAUAAUUUAUUUGAUGGUUAACUACUACAUGGAUACCCGUAGUAAUUCUAGAGCUAAUACAUGCGUAAGUUCUCGACUCUUCACCGGGGAGGGAUGUAUUUAUUAGUUAAAAAACCAAUGCGGGCUCUGCCUGGUUUCCUAUUGGUGAUUCAUAGUAACUGUUCGAAUCGCGGGUCUCUUUUGUG